rnacentral:rRNA from 1 species
CAGCAGCCGCGGUAAUACAGAGGGUGCGAGCGUUAAUCGGAUUUACUGGGCGUAAAGCGUGCGUAGGCGGCUUCUUAAGUCGGAUGUGAAAUCCCUGAGCUUAACUUAGGAAUUGCAUUAGAUACUGGGAAGCUAGAGUAUGGGAGAGGAUGGUAGAAUUCCAGGUGUAGCGGUGAAAUGCGUAGAGAUCUGGAGGAAUACCGAUGGCGAAGGCAGCCAUCUGGCCUAAUACUGACGCUGAGGUACGAAAGCAUGGGGAGCAAACAGGAUUAGAUACCCCAGUAGUCCCUGUCUCUUAUAC